rnacentral:rRNA from 1 species
UACGUAGGGCGCAAGCGUUGUCCGGAAUUAUUGGGCGUAAGGAGCUCGUAGGCGGUUUGUCGCGUCUGCUGUGAGAACUCGAGGCUCAACCUCGGGCUUGCAGUGGGUACGGGCAGACUAGAGUGCGGUAGGGGUGACUGGAAUUCCUGGUGUAGCGGUGGAAUGCGCAGAUAUCAGGAGGAACACCGAUGGCGAAGGCAGGUCACUGGGCCGCAACUGACGCUGAGGAGCGAAAGCAUGGGGAGCGAACAGG